rnacentral:rRNA from 1 species
AUUGAACGCUGGCGGCAUGCCUUACACAUGCAAGUCGAACGGCAGCGCGGGGCAACCUGGCGGCGAGUGGCGAACGGGUGAGUAACAUAUCGGAACAUACCCUAGAGUGGGGGAUAACGUAGCGAAAGUUACGCUAAUACCGCAUACGCACUAAGGUGGAAAGUGGGGGAUCUUCGGACCUCAUGCUCAUGGAGUGGCCGAUAUCUGAUUAGCUAGUUGGUGAGGUAAAGGCUCACCAAGGCGACGAUCAGUAGCUGGUUUGAGAGAACGACCAGCCACACUGGAACUGAGACACGGUCCAGACUCCUACGGGAGGCAGCAGUGGGGAAUUUGGACAAUGGGGCGAACCCUGAUCCAGCAAUGCCGCGUGAGUGAAGAAGG